GCAUUUACAUAAUUUUUUAAAGUAAAUAUUGUUGGUUUAAGAUGUUUAUAGUUAUAUGAUUUCUUUAUAAGCUGAAACAUCUGUGCCUGAGCCAUCACCAUACUGCAUUCAGAAGUAAUCAAAACUAGUUCCAGUGCAUUGAAGAAAGGAUUUCUGAAUCAAUGGAAAUUAAGAAUGGCUGCUAUGUUUCCUGGGGAUUCACCAUGAAAGCAUUUUAUUCUCUGCGGAAACAUUACAGCCCUGUGAGUAAUGCCAUGGAACCAAAAGCUUGUUUAAUUGGCAGUGGAAAGAAGCCAUUUAACAGGUACCAAAGCAAGUCUUUCAGGUAUAAUAUGAAACCAAGUGAAAUAACUAACAUCUUUGAAUAGGAUGAUAUUUCCCAGUGUGUUAGUAUUUUUAUUUUUCCCUUUAGUCUUUCUUUUUAAACACCUGAAUCUAAUUUAUAUCAUUCAGAUUAAAACACGCAAAGCUUGAGUGGAA
rnacentral:lncRNA from 1 species